UACCUACGGGUGGCAGCAGUAGGGAAUCUUGCGCAAUGGGCGAAAGCCUGACGCAGCCAUGCCGCGUGAAUGAUGAAGGUCUUAGGAUUGUAAAAUUCUUUCACCGGGGACGAUAAUGACGGUACCCGGAGAAGAAGCUCCGGCUAACUUCGUGCCAGCAGCCGCGGUAAUACGAAGGGGGCUAGCGUUGCUCGGAAUUACUGGGCGUAAAGGGAGCGUAGGCGGACAGUUUAGUCAGAGGUGAAAGCCCAGGGCUCAACCUUGGAAUUGCCUUUGAUACUGGCUGUCUUGAGUACGGGAGAGGUGAGUGGAACUCCGAGUGUAGAGGUGAAAUUCGUAGAUAUUCGGAAGAACACCAGUGGCGAAGGCGACUCACUGGCCCGUUACUGACGCUGAGGCGCGAAAGCGUGGGGAGCAAACAGGAUUAGAUACCCCUGUAGUCCA
rnacentral:rRNA from 1 species